CGAGCGGAGGAGGGGAGGGCGGCGGCCGCCGGCAAGACCCGGACUGGAGGCGGCGGACACGGCCGCCAGCACGGAUCCGGAGCCGCCGCCGCCGGGAGGAGCGGAGCGGCCGCUCCAAUUAUCCCGGGCCGGCAGCCCCCGAAAUAACUUUUCUUCCUCAAAAUCUCUUUGCGAGAGUCGCAGUUUGGUUUGCUGAGGCUCCCCUCCUCCCAGCCAGAGCCAGCCCUGCGCCUCACUCCGCGGAGCGAGGGUGUUUAUUUAUUGACUGAUUGAUCGCAGGGAACAUCCCCGACCCGCAGUGCAUCCCGAGUUACCAACGGAGGACCUUAACAAACUGCUGGGACCCACGUUUUGCCGCAGAAAGGUUUUUAUAGAAAUUAAGCGGGGUGAUUAACUAUGGCAGGAUCUGAGGCGCGGUGAGGAGAAAGCAUCGCUCUGCGUUUGGAAAUCAAGGCAAUCCCUUUCUGCUCGGAAAGGGAGCGAGGCAUGCACAGGCAGACGUGAGCACACAGCAUCAUUAACCCAGCCAGGUCUUUCCACAGAGUUAACUCCUCUCCGCGCCGAAACCCGGUAUUUCAAAGUAGCAGCAUAACGCGAAAGCCCAGGAUUUUUUAUUUUUUUUUCUCCAGUUCAUAUUUUUAUUAACUGAGCUUCACCCGCCUCGAAGUUACAGGUGGUAUUUACUACGGUUUGCGUUGGUGCUGUCAGUCAAACAAGUGUCACUGCGUAUCACCCUGCGCUAAGAAAACACACUUUGUGAUUGAAGAACAGCGUUGUGUUUGGACAUGCAUUUUACAAGUAACAAAAUCCAUUUAAUUGACAUGAAAAACACGGCUGCUGCUGGUAACUCGGGGGUAGGGUCCUGCUCACGGCCAUAAAAAUAACUCCGGAGAGAACAAAGCCCUUCAGUCCGGAGGGCUGGCUGUUUAGGUAGCAGUGUGGGUGCCAUGCUUGCACAUAAUGAUUGUGUUUAUACAUGACAGGAAGCAUCUGUAAUCCACAGCUGCGGGUGCUCCAGCCCAAAGUCCUGAUAAAAUCUACACCUAUGCUGCUGCAUGAAUGAAAACAGACUUCUGGACCAGAGUGAAAAGGCAGCCUGCGUCCCUAAAGAAUUUUCCAUUGCAUUCCUGAGCCUGGUUCUGGAUUACUUUCAUCUCAGAUUGAAUUGAACCUUGUUGCCAUUCCCCAGUAGAUGUCUGAAGUGCAAAAUCUACUUGAUCAUAACUUUCUGUGUGGUUUACUGCAGGGUAGCAUGCAUGUAAAAACCCUGAAGUCAUGUGAAAUAGGAGCCUUGACCUCAAGACACAAUAAAGUUGGCUGGUUAGGUUGUAGCUC